rnacentral:rRNA from 1 species
UACGUAGGUGCAAGCGUUAAUCGGAAUUACUGGGCGUAAAGCGUGCGCAGGCGGUUAUGUAAGACAGAUGUGAAAUCCCCGGGCUCAACCUGGGAACUGCAUUUGUGACUGCAUAGCUAGAGUACGGUAGAGGGGGAUGGAAUUCCGCGUGUAGCAGUGAAAUGCGUAGAUAUGCGGAGGAACACCGAUGGCGAAGGCAAUCCCCUGGACCUGUACUGACGCUCAUGCACGAAAGCGUGGGGAGCAAACAGG